rnacentral:rRNA from 1 species
UACAGAGGGUGCUAGCGUUGUUCGGAAUCAUUGGGCGUAAAGGGCGUGUAGGCGGUUUGUAAGUUAGAGGUGAAAGCCCGGGGCUCAACUCCGGAACUGCCUUUAAGACUGCAUCGCUUGAAUCCGGGAGAGGUGAGUGGAAUUCCGAGUGUAGAGGUGAAAUUCGUAGAUAUUCGGAAGAACACCAGUGGCGAAGGCGGCUCACUGGACCGGUAUUGACGCUGAGGUGCGAAAGCGUGGGGAGCAAACAGG